CGGGGAUUAGCGCAGUGGCUAGCGCGCCGGCUUCGGGAGCCGGAGGUCGCGGGUUCAAGUCCCGCAUCCCCGAC
rnacentral:tRNA from 1 species